rnacentral:rRNA from 1 species
CCAGACUCCUACGGGAGGCAGCAGUGAGGAAUAUUGGUCAAUGGGCGCGAGCCUGAACCAGCCAAGUCGCGUGAGGGAAGACGGUCCUAUGGAUUGUAAACCUCUUUUGUCGGGGAGCAAAAGACGCCACGCGUGGCGUUCCGAGAGUACCCGAAGAAAAAGCAUCGGCUAACUCCGUGCCAGCAGCCGCGGUAAUACGGAGGAUGCGAGCGUUAUCCGGAUUUAUUGGGUUUAAAGGGUGCGCAGGCGGCCUGUUAAGUCAGCGGUAAAAGCCCGGGGCUCAACUCCGGCGAGCCGUUGAAACUGGCGGGCUGGAGUUGGAGAGAAGUACGCGGAAUGCGCGGUGUAGCGGUGAAAUGCUUAGAUAUCGCGCAGAACCCCGAUUGCGAAGGCAGCGUACCGGCUCCACACUGACGCUGAGGCACGAAAGCGUGGGUAUCGAACAGGAUUAGAUACCCUAGUA